UGGUGGCUUUUAGCUAUUCUUUUGACUUUCCUUUUCCUUUCUUUGCUGGAAAGGUCUUCAUGUCCUCGUAAAAAUCUGAAUGAGUCCAAAGGCAUGAUGAAGGAAAGUGGGUGUUGGAGCCAAGGAAGGGAAGGAAGGAGUUAACGUAGAGGGUGCGGUAGCUCUGCAAUAUAACACUAUGUUCUGUAGCUUAACUCGCAAGGUUGUCUUCAUGAAAAUUGUUCCUUAGCUUGUGAACUACAACAUAUCCAAAUUUGAGAGCCAUCGGAGUAGUACAACUCCAGAUAUUCAGAUCAACAUACUUUCUUCAUCAAAAUUGUUCCUUAGCUGGUGAACUACAACAUAUCCAAUGUUGAGAUUCAUCGGAGUAAUACAACUCCAGAUAUUCAGAUCUUCGAAACACCGCAGCAGCGUUGAAGCUUGCAGAAAUCUGACCGUCGUUUUGUUGGAGCUUCAUCACUCUAACUUCCGUCGCUCAAAUGGAAACAUUUCCUUCGUGAAAGUUGUUCAUCUGCUCAAGAACUAUAAGAUGUCCAAAAUUCAGCUCUACUGAAGAAGAGCAGGAGUUGCAGAAAUUUGAUAGAUGGAAAGAGGCGGAAGAGGGAGAGGGAGAAAAAA